UUUUAUAAGUUUUUUAUAAAUGGUGGAUAUUAACCUGUUAUCAUAUGUAUCAUUGGUAGAUAUAUUCUCCCAUUCAGUGGGUUGUCUUUUCAUUUUGUUGAUAUUUUCCUUUGCUGUGUACAAACUUUUUAGUUUGAUGCAGUCCCAUUUGUUUAUUUUUUCUUUUAUUUCCCUCGACCAA